UACGUAGGGUGCGAGCGUUAAUCGGAAUUACUGGGCGUAAAGCGUGCGCAGGCGGUAAGUUAAGUCUGAUGUGAAGCCCCGGGCUCAACCUGGGAAUGGCAUUGGAACUGGCUUGCUGGAGUGUCGGCUAGAGGGGGUGGAAUUUCCGCGGUGUAGCAGGUGGAAAUGCGUAGAGAUGCGGAGGAACGCCGAUGGCGAAGGCAGCCCCUGGGGCCAA
rnacentral:rRNA from 1 species